rnacentral:rRNA from 1 species
AAUGAACGCUGGCGGCAGGCCUAAAACAUGCAAGUCGAACGCCCUAGCAAUAGGGAGUGGCGCACGGGUGAGUAACAUGUGGGAAUAUGCCUUUAGGUUCGGAAUAACUCAGGGAAACUCGUGCUAAUACCGAAUGUGCCCUUCGGGGGAAAGAUUUAUCGCCUUUAGAGCGGCCCGCGUCUGAUUAGCUAGUUGGUGAGGUAAUGGCUCACCAAGGCUACGAUCAGUAGCUGGUCUGGGAGGAUGACCAGCCACAUUGGGACUGAGACACGGCCCAAACUCCUACGGGAGGCAGCAGUGGGGAAUCUUGCGCAAUGGGCGAAAGCCUGACGCAGCCAUGCCGCGUGGAUGAUGAAGGUCUUAGGAUUGUAAAAUCCUUUCACCGGUGAAGAUAAUGACUGUAGCCGGAGAAGAAGCCCCGGCUAACUUCGUGCCAGCAGCCGCCGUAACAC